rnacentral:rRNA from 1 species
GACAGAGGGGGCAAGCGUUAAUCGGAAUUACUGGGCGUAAAGCGUGCGUAGACGGUUGCGUAAGUCAGAUGUGAAAGCCCCGGGCUCAACCUGGGAAUUGCAUUUGAGACUGCGUAGCUAGGGUGCGGAAGAGGGAAGCGGAAUUUCCGGUGUAGCGGUGAAAUGCGUAGAUAUCGGAAGGAACACCAGUGGCGAAAGCGGCUUCCUGGUCCAGCACCGACGUUCAGGCACGAAAGCGUGGGGAGCAAACAGG